rnacentral:rRNA from 1 species
UACGUAGGGGCAAGCGUUGUCCGGAUUUAUUGGGCGUAAAGAGCGUGUAGGCGGCCGCACAGGUCCGUUGUGAAACUGGAGGCUUAACCUUCAGACGUCGAUGGAAACCGUGCGGCUAGAGUCCGGAAGAGGAGAAUGGAAUUCCUGGUGUAGCGGUGAAAUGCGCAGAUAUCAGGAAGAACACCCGUGGCUAAGGCGGUUCUCUAGUACGGUACUGACGCUGAGACGCGAAAGCGUGGGGAGC